rnacentral:rRNA from 1 species
UACGUAGGGUGCAAGCGUUGUCCGGAAUUAUUGGGCGUAAAGAGCUUGUAGGCGGUUUGUCGCGUCUGCUGUGAAAUUUCGGGGCUCAACCCCGAACUUGCAGUGGGUACGGGCAGACUAGAGUGUGGUAGGGGAGACUGGAAUUCCUGGUGUAGCGGUGAAAUGCGCAGAUAUCUGGAGGAACACCGAUGGCGAAGGCAGGUCUCUGGGCCACUACUGACGCUGAGAAGCGAAAGCAUGGGGAGCGAACAGG